GAGUUUGAUCCUGGCUCAGGACGAACGCUGGCGGUGCGCCUUAUGCAUGCAAGUUGAGCGAAGCUUUUUGGUAGUUUACUACUAGAAAUGACUGAGCGGCGAACGGGUGAGUAACGCGUGAGCAAUCUACCUUAGUUACUGGGAUAGCCCGAGGAAACUCGGAUUAAUACCGGAUAUUCUUAUUUUUUCACAUGAAGUUUUAAGGAAAGGUCAGCCGAACUAAGAUGAGCUCGCGUUCUAUCAGCUAGUUGGUGGGGUAAAAGCCUACCAAGGCUACGACGGAUAGCUGGUCUGAGAGGACGAUCAGCCACACUGGGACUGAGACACGGCCCAGACUCCUACGGGAGGCUGCAGCAGGGAAUAUUGUGCAAUGAGCGAAAGCUUGACACAGCGACACCGCGUGUGGGAUGACGGUUCUAGGAUUGUAAACCACUUUCAGGAGGGAAGAAAAUGACGGUACCUCCACAAGAAGACUCGGCCAACUAUGUGCCAGCAGCCGCGGUAAUACAUAGGGGUCAAGCGUUGUCCGGAUUUAUUGGGCGUAAAGAGCUCGUAGGCGGUUCAACAAGUCGGUCGUAAAAGUUUAGGGCUCAACCCUAAAAUGUCGAUCGAUACUGUUGUGACUAGGAUACGGUAGAGGUGAAUGGAAUUCCGAGUGUAGCGGUGAAAUGCGUAGAUAUUCGGAGGAACACCAAUUGCGAAGGCAGUUCACUGGACCGUGAUCGACGCUGAGGAGCGAAAGCUAGGGGAGCAAACAGGAUUAGAUACCCUGGUAGUCCUAGCUGUAAACGAUGGAUACUAGAUAUAGGAACUGGAUUGACGGUUUCUGUAUCGUAGCUAACGCGUUAAGUAUCCCGCCUGGGGAGUACGGUCGCAAGACUAAAACUCAAAGGAAUUGACGGGACCCCGCACAAGCGGCGGAGCAUGCGGCUUAAUUCGAUGAUACCCGUAGAACCUUACCUGGACUUGACAUAUAGGGAAAAACUGGAGAAAUCCAGCGUGCGUAAGCGCCCUAUACAGGUGGUGCAUGGCUGUCGUCAGCUCGUGUCGUGAGAUGUUGGGUUAAGUCUCGCAACGAGCGCAACCCCUGUCCUAUGUUGCCAGCAAGUAAUGUUGGGGACUCAUAGGAGACUGCCGGUGAUAAACCGGAGGAAGGUGGGGACGACGUCAAGUCAUCAUGCCCCUUAUGUCCAGGGCUGCACGCAUGCUACAAUGGCAAGUACAACGAGUCGCAAUACCGCGAGGUGGAGCAAAUCUCUUAAAGCUUGUCUCAGUUCGGAUAGGAGUCUGCAACUCGACUCCUUGAAGUUGGAGUCGCUAGUAAUCGCAAAUCAGCAAAGUUGCGGUGAAUACGUUCUCGGGGUUUGUACACACCGCCCGUC
rnacentral:rRNA from 1 species